AUUACUGAGGAAAUUAGUCUUUAAAAAUCCGUCUUUCUACUAUUAGUUUACUGUGAAUAUAUAUGUAUUUCUAGGUUUCUCGUGUUCUUGGGAUGGAAUGCAGUUCCCUGAUGGACUAGAAAUUAAUACGUUGGUCAUAUAGUGGAUAAUUAGGCAUUUACGCUACAUUUUUAAACUCUAAACAUGUUUAUGUACAAAAUCCUGAGUAGAAAUUUAAGUUCAGAAGACCUAAAAAUGUCUUGAACUUUUCUGGGCGUGUUUACAUUCUGUACACUUACAGUACUUAUAUGUGUGUAUGUGUGAAACCUAAAAAAAAAAACAAAGUGUCACGGCAGCCCCUGCCUCCGCUCCUCCCACCGCUACUGCUCAUCAGAAACUCAAGCUCUCUGCCUGCUUACCUGCCUGCCUUCACGUCCCGUGCACUCACGCUGUGUUCCCGUGACAACGCUGCUACUCCGCUGGAAUUGGAUUCCUGCUUCCUCCACGCUGCAAGUCCUGCUCAAAGCCUGUCCAUAGAUCCUGUUGCUGCUAAGAUCUCUUCUUCACGGAUUACCCCACUCAAGACCGCUACAAACUUCCACAAACUAAGACUCUUCCUCUCCACUCAUUCUGCUCUGCUCUCCGACGGCGCCCUCAUCUGCGGCUUCAGCACCCCCUGGUGUCUGGCGGCGUUACUGCACCCUGCCUGUUUCCAUCUCAUCAUCCUUCAGCAAUAAAUAACUGAACUUCA